AAGAAAAAGUUUAUUAGCUCCCCAGCGUCGACUACUAUAAAGGUUUACUUAAAGCAUUUAUUAAAAAAAUGGCUGCCUCCAAUGUUAUAAGCAGAUCAUCCAAGAAGUCGGCGCCCUCAAAGAACAAAAAAAGUAGUUCAUCAGAGAAAUCAAAACAGUCUACUUCUACAGCAAACUCGGGCAGGAUGCUCCGUUACUAUUACGAAGACUCCCCCAGUUUAAAGAUAGGCCCCAUUCCAGUCUUGUUAGCUAGUUUGUUACUUAUAGCUUCAGUAUUUGUUCUUCACAUAUGGGGUAAGAUAGUUCGC